UGCUCUCGCCACAGGUCUUUCUUUUUCAAAAGCGAACAGCUACAGUAUCCAUCAUACUCCAGAGCAGCCCUCAAAGCCUGGGCUGUUGAGAGUGCACAUCCUGGCCUGCGGUGACAGCCGUCAGAUGGUGAGGGGCCCCAGGCGACUGCCCCAGCAGCAGGGCCUGGGAGCUGCACAGGGUAGAACUCGAUAAGGAGCAUCAUGAGCAUAGUGGGUCCAUUGACAACAUGCAGUCCCCACGGUGGUGCCUAAUGACAAAAUGACAUCAUGCCACCCUCAUGAAGCAGGCAGGACAGGUG
rnacentral:lncRNA from 1 species